rnacentral:snRNA from 1 species
UAAUGUGAGGGCGAUCUGGCUGUGACAUUUGUCACCCCAUUGAUCACCAGGGGUGAUUUGACUGACCUGACUGGCUAGGCAGAUGUCCCCUUCCUCCCUCACUGCUCCAUGUGUGUCCCUCCUGAAGCUGUGCGCUCAGUUGAAGGGGAUGUCCUUCCCCAGUAGAGACAUACUGUUCAUUGGUCAAGGGUAUACUCUAGCUGUGUUCCCCUGCUUGAACCUCCAAACAAGCUCAUGGAAAAGACUUUUAUCAAGAUUUGGGCCAGUAUCUCCAAGAGCUUUGACCACCUAAUGGGAGAUGCACUCUUCUCCAAAUAUGCCCAUCUAACUAU